rnacentral:rRNA from 1 species
UACGGGGGGGGCAAGCGUUGUUCGGAAUUACUGGGCGUAAAGGGCCAGUAGGCGGCCAACUAAGUCGGAUGUGAAAUCCCCAGGCUUAACCUGGGAACUGCAUCCGAUACUGGAUGGCUUGAGAUUGGGAGAGGGAUGCGGAAUUCCAGGUGUAGCGGUGAAAUGCGUAGAUAUCUGGAGGAACACCGGUGGCGAAGGCGGCAUCCUGGACCAACACUGACACUGAGGAGCGAAAGCCAGGGGAGCAAACGGG